rnacentral:rRNA from 1 species
GACGAACGCUGGCGGCGUGCUUAACACAUGCAAGUCGAACGGAAAGGCCCUGCUUUUGUGGGGUGCUCGAGUGGCGAACGGGUGAGUAACACGUGAGUAACCUGCCCUUGACUUUGGGGUAGCUUCAGGAAACUGGGGCUAAUACCGGAUAGCAGCUCCUGCUGCAUGGUGGGCGUUGGAAAUUUUCGGCGGUUGGGGAUGGACUCGCGGCUUAUCAGCUUGUUGGUGGGGGAGUGGCUUACCAAGGCUUUGACGGGUAGCCGGCAUGAGAGGGUGACCGGCCACAUUGGGACUGAGAUACGGCCCAGACUGCUACGGGAGGCAGCAGUGGGGAAUAUGGCACAAUGGGACGAAGCCUGAGGCAGCAACGCCGCGUGCGGGAUGACGGCCUUCGGGUUGUAAACCGCAUUCGCCUGUGACGCAGCGGGAGUGACGGUAAUGGGUAAAGAAGCACCGGCUAACUACGUG